GAUGAACGCUAGCGGCAGGCCUAACACAUGCAAGUCGAACGCUCUUUUCGGAGAGAGUGGCGCACGGGUGAGUAACGCGUGGGAAUCUGCCCUUUGGUUCGGAAUAACCCUGGGAAACUAGGGCUAACACCGGAUGAGCCCCGAGUUCCGCGAGGGAGUUGGGGAAAGUUUACGCCGAAGGAGGAGCCCGCGUCCGAUUAGCUAGUUGGUGAGGUAAGAGCUCACCAAGGCUUCGAUCGGUAGCGGUCUGAGAGGACGAUCAGCCACACUGGGACUGAGACACGGCCCAGACUCCUACGGGAGGCAGCAGUGGGGAAUAUUGGACAAUGGGCGCAAGCCUGAUCCAGCCAUGCCGCGUGAGUGAUGAAGGCCUUCGGGUUGUAAGUAC
rnacentral:rRNA from 1 species